GUGGCUGUAGCUCAGUUGGUUAGAGCGUCGGAUUGUGAUUCCGAAUGUCGGGGGUUCAAAUCCCCUCAGUCACCC
rnacentral:tRNA from 1 species